UAGCCCAGCACUGAAUCCCGUCGUUGUCACGGCGGCGGGAGAUGUGGUGUUCGGGAGGUUCCGCUUUCUCGUCGUUGUCUUCUCCUGUCCAAGUUCGUCUUGAACGGGGCCGUUUUCCCGUAGAGGGUGCCAGGCCCGUAGCGACGGAGGACGGCGGCGAGAGGGACUCUCCUCAGAGUCGGGUUGCUUGAGAGUGCAGCCCUAAGUGGGUGGUAAACUCCAUCUAAGGCUAAAUAUUACCGCGAGACCGAUAGCGAACAAGUACCGUA
rnacentral:rRNA from 1 species